rnacentral:antisense_RNA from 1 species
GGGCGAGGGGGCGGGUCGGGAGGUGGAAGAGAAGGCGGGCACAGGAAGAUGGGACAGACGAUGACAUCAUCACUAGGCUGAACGGACCCAGGUCUGAACCCCAGGGAGCCGAGUCCACCCAUGGGCUGUGAGCAGGUAGCUGAGGCAAGGAUGCGCUUGUCAUUUCCAAGCACGACGCUACCAGGACCACAGGUGACUGUUCCAGGGUGGAUCAAGGAGUCUCAAAAA